rnacentral:rRNA from 1 species
CCUACGGGGGGCAGCAGUGAGGAAUAUUGGUCAAUGGGCGGAAGCCUGAACCAGCCAAGUCGCGUGAGGGAUUAAGGCCCUGCGGGUCGUAAACCUCUUUUGCCGGGGAGCAGUGGUCCGGACGCGUCCGGACCGGGAGAGUACCCGGAGAAAAAGCAUCGGCUAACUCCGUGCCAGCAGCCGCGGUAAUACGGAGGUGGCAAGCGUUGUUCGGAAUAACUGGGCGUAAAGGAUGCGUAGGCGGUUAAACAAGUUAUAUGUUAAAUAUAUAGGCUUAACCUGUAGAAAGCAUAUAAAACUGUUUAACUAGAGUGCAGGAGAGGUAAGUGGAAUUCCUAGUGUAGCGGUGAAAUGCGUAGAGAUUAGGAAGAACACCAGUGGCGAAGGCGACUUACUGGACUGUAACUGACGCUGAGGCAUGAGAGCAUGGGGAGCAAACAGGAUUAGAUACCCCAGUAGUC